UGGGGAAUAUUGCACAAUGGAGGGAACUCUGAUGCAGCGACGCCGCGUGAACGAAGAAGGCUUUCGAGUCGUAAAGUUCUUUUAUAUGGGAAUAUAAUGACGGUACCAUAAGAAAAAGCCCCGGCUAACUACGUGCCAGCAGCCGCGGUAAUACGUAGGGGGCUAGCGUUUUCCGGAAUCACUGGGCGUAAAGGGUUCGCAGGCGGAAAUGCAAGUCAGGUGUAAAAGGCAGUAGCUUAACUACUGUAAGCAUUUGAAACUGCAUAUCUUGAGAAGAGUAGAGGUAAGUGGAAUUUUUAGUGUAGCGGUGAAAUGCGUAGAUAUUAAAAAGAAUACCGGUGGCGAAGGCGACUUACUGGGCUCAUUCUGACGCUGAGGAACGAAAGCGUGGGUAGCAAACAGG
rnacentral:rRNA from 1 species